rnacentral:rRNA from 1 species
GAUGAACGCUGGCGGCGUGCCUAAUACAUGCAAGUCGAGCGAACAGAUAAGGAGCUUGCUCCUUUGACGUUAGCGGCGGACGGGUGAGUAACACGUGGGUAACUUACCUAUAAGACUGGAAUAACUCCGGGAAACCGGGGCUAAUGCCGGAUAACAUGUUGAACCGCAUGGUUCUACAGUGAAAGGCGGCUUUGCUGUCACUUAUAGAUGGACCCGCGCCGUAUUAGCUAGUUGGUGAGGUAACGGCUCACCAAGGCAACGAUACGUAGCCGACCUGAGAGGGUGAUCGGCCACACUGGAACUGAGACACGGUCCAGACUCCUACGGGAGGCAGCAGUAGGGAAUCUUCCGCAAUGGGCGAAAGCCUGACGGAGCAACGCCGCGCGAGUGAUGAAGGUCUUCGGAUCGUAAAACUCUGUUAUUAGGGAAGAACAAAUGCGUAAGUAACUGUGCGCGUCUUGACGGUACCUAAUCAGAAAGCCACGGCUAACUACGUG